rnacentral:rRNA from 1 species
AACGAACGCUGGCGGCAUGCCUAACACAUGCAAGUCGAACGAGACCUUCGGGUCUAGUGGCGCACGGGUGCGUAACGCGUGGGAAUCUGCCCUUCGGCUGGGAAUAACACAGAGAAAUUUGUGCUAAUACCUUAUAAUGUCUUCGGACCAAAGAUUUAUCGCCGAGGGAUGAGCCCGCGUAGGAUUAGGUAGUUGGUGGGGUAAUGGCCUACCAAGCCGACGAUCCUUAGCUGGUCUGGGAGGAUGAUCAGCCACACUGGGACUGAGACACGGCCCAG